UACGUAGGGUGCGAGCGUUAAUCGGAAUUACUGGGCGUAAAGGGCGCGUAGGCGGCCUACUAAGUCAGACGUGAAAUCCCCCGGCUUAACCUGGGAACUGCGUCUGAUACUGGAAGGCUUGAGGAUGGGGAGAGGGAUGUAGAAUUCCAGGUGUAGCGGUGAAAUGCGUAGAUAUCUGGAGGAUACCGGUGGCGAAGGCGGCAUCCUGGACCAUUACUGACGCUGAGGC
rnacentral:rRNA from 1 species